rnacentral:rRNA from 1 species
GACGAACGCUGGCGGCGUGCUUAACACAUGCAAGUCGAACGGAAAGGCCCUGCUUUUGUGGGGUGCUCGAGUGGCGAACGGGUGAGUAACACGUGAGUAACCUGCCCUUGACUUUGGGAUAACUUCAGGAAACUGGGGCUAAUACCGGAUAGGAGCUCCUGCUGCAUGGUGGGGGUUGGAAAGUUUCGGCGGUGGGGGAUGGACUCGCGGCUUAUCAGCUUGUUGUUGGGGUAGUGGCUUACCAAGGCUUUGACGGGUAGCCGGCCUGAGAGGGUGACCGGCCACAUGGGGCUGGGGAUACGGCCCAGACUCCUACGGAGGCAGCAGUGGGGAAUAUUGCACAAUGGGCGGAAGCCUGAUGCAGCAACGCCGCGUGCGGGAUGACGGCCUUCGGGUUGUAAACCGCUUUCGCCUGUGACGAAGCGUGAGUGACGGUAAUGGGUAAAGAAGCACCGGCUAACUACGUG